rnacentral:rRNA from 1 species
UGAAUACGAGAUGCUACGGCAUCGAAGCAGUCUAUGUCAUACUUCCAAGAAGAGCUUGCACUGUCAUAAACAAAUAAUGCCUGUACCAUAACCGACACAGGUGGGUAGGUAGAGUAUACUAAGGGGCGCGAGAUAACUCUCUCUAAGGAACUCGGCAAAAUGACUCCGUAACUUCGGGAGAAGGAGUGCCUUAUUUUAUAAGGUUGCAAUAACAAGAUCCAAGCAACUGUUUACCAAAAACACAGGUCUCCGCUAAGUCGUAAGACGAUGUAUGGGGGCUGACGCCUGCCCAGUGCCAGAAGGUUAAAGAAGUUGGUUAGCAUUAGCGAAGCUGAUAACUGAAGCCCUGGUGAACGGCGGCCGUAACGAUAGCGGUCCUAAGGUAGCGAAAUUCCUUGUCGGGUAAGUUCCGACCCGCACGAAAGGCGUAAUGAUUUGGAUACUGUCUCGGAGAGGGGCUCGGCGAAAUAGACUUGUCUGUGAAGAUGCGGACUACCUGCACCAGGACAGAAAGACCCUAUGAAGCUUUACUGUAACUUGAGAUUGAAAUUGGACUUUAUUUGCGCAGUAUAGGUGGGAGACGUUGAAAAUAUUCUUGCGGGAAUAUUGGAGUCAUCAGUGAGAUACCACUCUUAUAAUGUUAGAUUUCUAACUUUGUAUCAUUAUCUGGUCAAAGAACAGUCUCAGGCGGGCAGUUUGACUGGGGCGGUCGCCUCCCAAACGGUAACGGAGGCGCACAAAGGUUUCCUCUGAACGUGUAGAAAUCGUAUCUAGAGUGUAAAGGCAUAAGGAAGCUUGACUGUGAGACCUACAAGUCGAGCAGGGACGAAAGUCGGUCUUAGUGAUCUGACGGUGCUGAGUGGAAAGGCCGUCACUCAACGGAUAAAAGUUACUCUAAGGAUAACAGGCUGAUCUCCCCCAAGAGUUCACAUCGACGGGGAGGUUUGGCACCUCGAUGUCGGCUCAUCGCAUCCUGGGGCGGUAGUACGUCCCAAGGGUUGGGCUGUUCGCCCAUGAAAGCGGUACGCGAGCUGGGUUCAGAACGUCGUGAGACAGCUCGGUCCAUAUCCGGUGUAGGCGUUAGAAUAUUGAGAGGAGCCUUCUUUAGUACGAGAGGACCGAGAAGGACAUACCUCUGGUGUACCAGUUAUCGUGCCAACGGUAAACGCUGGGUAGCUAUGUAUGGAGAGGAUAACCGCUGAAAGCAUCUAAGUGGGAAGCCCACCUCAAGAUAAG